ACGCCGUCCACGCGUAACUACGCCGCCCCGCAGCCGUUUCGGCGCGCGUCACCGUGCUCCGGCCGGUCGCCGCCGCCACUGAACUGGUGCCCUGGGAGGAUGAGAGAGGAAGAAGUGCGACCAAUGCAAGGCGCCUUUCGCUUUGGAGACGGUGAGCUCGUCGGGGUACCCCGCCCACCCCACCCUCCGGGAUUUGCGACUUGCUGAUUCGUAGGAGACCCCUGGUCUGUGGUCUCCAUUUGUUUCCUCCGAGAGACGAGGCUGGCCUAACAAUACAUCAGCAUUGUCGUAAAGACAUUCAGAGUCCAAAUGGUGAUAUGUAAAUAAAGAAAAUAAGUUAUACAAUUUAGAAUUCUAAAUCCUUUUUGGAUAGAUCUUACAUAUUCAACAGAGAGCUGCAAUAGCCAAUAGCUUCAAUACUCAAGUACCCGAUAUUUAGACAAAUAUGUUACUACCCUGGAUUGUAAUAUAGUAUACUCUGUAAACUUGCUGCUAGGCAUGCACUCAUGAAUAAUUUGCUUGUAAUACAGUUAAAAAUCUUCUUUUU